AUUGAACACUGGCGGAAUGCUUUACAAAUGCAAGUCGAACGGUAGAGGGGGCAACCCCUCGAGAGUGGCGAACGGGUGAGUAAUAUAUCGGAACGUGCCCAGUCGUGGGGGAUAACGUAGCGAAAGUUACGCUAAUACCGCAUACGAUCUAAGGAUGAAAGCGGGGGAUAGCAAGACCUCGCGCGAUUGGAGCGGCCGAAAUCAGAUUAGGUAGUUGGUGGGGUAAAGGCUCACCAAGCCAACGAUCUUUAAAUGGUCUGAGAGGACGAACAACCACAAUGGAACUUCGAAACGGUCCAGACUCCUCAGGGAGGCAGCCGUGGGGACUUUUGGACAAUGGACGCAAGUCUGAACCAGCCAUUCCGCGGGCAGGAUGAAGUCCCUCGUGUUGUAAACUGCUUUUGUACGGAACGAAAAGGUCUCUCUUAAUACGGGGGACUCAUGACGGUACCGUAAGAAUAAGCACCGGCUAACUACGUGCCAGCAGCCGCCGCCG
rnacentral:rRNA from 1 species